rnacentral:rRNA from 1 species
GACGGGGGGGGCAAGUGUUCUUCGGAAUGACUGGGCGUAAAGGGCACGUAGGCGGUGAAUCGGGUUGAAAGUGAAAGUCGCCAAAAAGUGGCGGAAUGCUCUCGAAACCAAUUCACUUGAGUGAGACAGAGGAGAGUGGAAUUUCGUGUGUAGGGGUGAAAUGCGUAGAUAUCCGGAGGAAUACCAAAGGCGAAGGCAGUGUCCUGGAGGGUUAACUGACGCUGAGGCGCGAAAGCUAGGGGAGCGAACAGG